AUGCGUACUCCCGUUGUUGCUUGCUGCGUUGACCUGUUUGAAAUGGACGACAUGUUUGGCGUGGCCAUCUCUGAUUGUGAGAAAAUCAUUGAUAUAUGGGUGUUGCAAGAUUAUGAAAGGGAGAUAUGGGUCUUAAAUCGCAGGAUUGAAUUGCCGUCUGCAGAGAUCAGGGAGCAGUGUGAUAAGUAUGACACAUACAUUCGGUCGCCGUUUUAUGUGACUGUCAUGCCAGGUGAUGGUGAGUGGCUCGUGUUGGUCAAAUUUGCCGACUGGCUACUUCGGGUUGGCAUGGAUGGCAAGUUGAUCACCACUUUCCAUCGCAAAGGAUUAGAUCAUACCUAUUUUCAGCUUAAACAAUCUCUUGUUUCGCAUACCUUCUUUCAUACACUAGAGGAUUAUGUUGUGAAUGCUCCACCUUUUAUCUGA
rnacentral:rRNA from 1 species